AAUAGAUACCCUGGUAGUCCAUGCCGUAAACGUUGGGCACUAGGUGUGGGGCUCAUUCCACGAGUUCCGUGCCGCAGCUAACGCAUUAAGUGCCCCGCCUGGGGAGUACGGCCGCAAGGCUAAAACUCAAAGGAAUUGACGGGGGCCCGCACAAGCGGCGGAGCAUGCGGAUUAAUUCGAUGCAACGCGAAGAACCUUACCAAGGCUUGACAUGCACCGGAAACACUCAGAGAUGGGUGCCCCGUAAGGUCGGUGCACAGGUGGUGCAUGGUUGUCGUCAGCUCGUGUCGUGAGAUGUUGGGUUAAGUCCCGCAACGAGCGCAACCCUCGUCCUAUGUUGCCAGCGGGUUAUGCCGGGGACUCAUGGGAGACUGCCGGGGUCAACUCGGAGGAAGGUGGGGAUGACGUCAAAUCAUCAUGCCCCUUAUGUCUUGGGCUUCACGCAUGCUACAAUGGCCGGUACAGAGGGCUGCGAUACCGUAAGGUGGAGCGAAUCCCAAAAGCCGGUCUCAGUUCGGAUUGGGGUCUGACC
rnacentral:rRNA from 1 species